rnacentral:rRNA from 1 species
UACGAAGGGGGCUAGCGUUGCUCGGAAUCACUGGGCGUAAAGGGUGCGUAGGCGGGUCUUUAAGUCAGGGGUGAAAUCCCGAGGCUCAACCUCGGAACUGCCUUUGAUACUGAGGAUCUGGAGUCCGGGAGAGGUGAGCGGAACUGCGAGUGUAGAGGUGAAAUUCGUAGAUAUUCGCAAGAACACCAGUGGCGAAGGCGGCUCACUGGCCCGGAACUGACGCUGAGGUGCGAAAGCGUGGGGAGCAAACAGG